rnacentral:rRNA from 1 species
UACGUAGGGUGCAAGCGUUAAUCGGAAUUACUGGGCGUAAAGCGCGCGCAGGCGGUGAUGUAAGUCAGAUGUGAAAUCCCCGGGCUCAACCUGGGAACUGCAUUUGUGACUGCAUCGCUGGAGUGCGGCAGAGGGGGAUGGAAUUCCGCGUGUAGCAGUGAAAUGCGUAGAUAUGCGGAGGAACACCGAUGGCGAAGGCAAUCCCCUGGGCCUGCACUGACGCUCAUGCACGAAAGCGUGGGGAGCAAACAGG